GUGCCUGCUUAAAACAAGUUUGUGUGCAUUUGCAGGAACUUGUGAGUCUCCUAUUGAAAAUGAACAGGAGACUGAUGAGUUCCCGGGAACACCCACAAAUCUUCCUACUUAUUUCUACU
rnacentral:pre_miRNA from 15 species